UAAUUCUAUAUCGUUAUAGUUGUAUAGCGGGUUCUUACUGUAAAACCCCCUAUUUCUAAAGUUAACCUCGGAUUAAGUAGGAAUACCCGCUAAAUUUAAGCAUAUUAAUAAGCAGAGGAAAAGA